rnacentral:lncRNA from 1 species
GGAAACCUUUAUGGUAGGAACCUGCCUAUGGUAGGAAUGCCGGCAGAGAGCGACACGUGUUGGGGGCAAAAUGGUCCAAACGGAGACGUUAAAUUGUUGGAGAGCGCGUGCAUAGGGAAUCAAGUAGAAGCGUGUACGGAUGGAAGCAAACAGCAGACUGACUUCCGUACUAUGUUAUUGCAAGUCUUUCCUUUGUACCAAAUAU